GACAGAGGGUGCGAACGUUGCUCGGAAUUACUGGGCGUAAAGCGUGUGCAGGCGGUCCCGUGCAUCGGAUGUGAAAGCCCGGGGCUCAACCCCGGAAGUGCACCCGAGAUGGCGGGACUGGAGUGGCGGAGAGGAGCGCGGAAUUCCCGGUGUAGAGGUGAAAUUCGUAGAUAUCGGGAGGAACACCAGCGGCGCAGGCGGCGCUCUGGACGCACACUGACGCUGAGACACGAAAGCGUGGGGAGCAAACAGG
rnacentral:rRNA from 1 species